rnacentral:rRNA from 1 species
UAUUAUACUAAAUCGUAAUUAAAAAACUUGAAUACUGUAAGAUACUGUCUUUAAAUUCAAAGAAUUUGGCGGUAAUUUAGUCUUUCCAGAGGAACCUGUUUUUUAAACGAUAAACCACGAAUAAUCUUACUUACUUUAAUUAUAAAGGUUUGUAUACCGUCAUUAUCAGAUGAUAUUUAAAGAUUAAUUGUUAAGCUUUUAAUAAAAAAAUAAAUUAGAUCAAGGUGCAGCUUAUAGGUAAGUUAAAAUGGGUUACAAUUAAAUAAAUAUAAGAUGAAUUAUGAUUUGAAAAAUCUUAUGAAGGAGGAUUUGGUUGUAAUAAAGAUUAAUAAGAUAAAAAGAUAUAGGCUCUAAAUUGU